AACGCUGGCGGCAUGCCUAACACAUGCAAGUCGAACGGUAACGACUUUAUUACCUUCGGGUAAUGAAGGGCGACGAGUGGCGGACGGGUGAGUAACGCAUAGGAAUCUGCCCAGUAGUAGGGGACAACCUGGGGAAACCCAGGCUAAUACCGCAUACGCCCUACGGGGGAAAGCGGGGGAUCUUCGGACCUCGCGCUAUUGGAUGAGCCUAUGUCUGAUUAGCUUGUUGGUAGGGUAACGGCCUACCAAGGCAACGAUCAGUAGCUGGUCUGAGAGGAUGAUCAGCCACACUGCGACUGAGACACGGCGCAGACUCCUACGGGAGGCAGCAGUGGGGAAUAUUGCACAAUGGGCGCAAGCCUGAUGCAGCAAUGCCGCGUGUGUGAAGAAGGCCUGCGGGUUGUAAAGCACUUUCAGUAGCGAAGAAAAGCUCGAGGUUAAUACCUUCGGGUCUUGACGUUAGCUACACAAGAAGCACCGGCUAACUCCGUGCCAGCAGCCGCGGUAAUACGGAGGGUGCGAGCGUUAAUCGGAAUUACUGGGCGUAAAGCGCGCGUAGGCGGUUUGGUAAGUCGGAUGUGAAAUCCCCGGGCUUAACCUGGGAAUUGCAUUCGAUACUGCCUGACUAGAAUGUGAUAGA
rnacentral:rRNA from 1 species